AAAGAAAAAAAUACUUUUUAAUGGGGAGANAUGGUUGCUUUAGGAUGUCACGCAAGGGCUGUUACAUUUUGGGAGCAUUAAAUUUUUAUGGUGUUAUAUGCAUUUAUUCAUUUGCUUUUAAUUGGAUUAUGCAUGUUGAGAUUCAAAAUUUGAUUUCCCUUUAUUUAUCACCGUAGACUAGUUUUCUUUUUUUUCUUUUUUUCUUUUUAUUUAUUUAUUCACCUUGUUUAUGUUUCUAAGCCUUAUUUGCCUUAUAUAGAAUGUGGAAAUUUUUAAAUGCCACUAGGUUAUUUUCUUUAGUUACUUACUUUUUUGUUGUUUUUAUUUAAUUUUGAUCCCCACUUUAAUGAUGUUUACUUUGUUUGAUUUUGUUAAUUUAUUUAUGAUGUUAGUUUAGAUUAGGCAGGUUGGUCGUUAGUGAUAUUACAUUGUUUCCUUGAGAUUUAUUNGAUUGUUCUUGUGUUUAUUCUGCUCUGAUUUGGCUCAAUAUUUAAUCUGUUGUGUGCUUGNNAUUGGNUAUAUGCUUAGUUGCCUAAUCGGUGUUUAAUCUUCGCUUAGUUGAUUAAACUGUAUGGUGCAUGACUGAUUAAAUUUGUGUAUUGCAUUCGCUUAGUCUGCAAUUCUGAAGACCGAAUUACCCUUUGCUU
rnacentral:lncRNA from 1 species